ensembl:misc_RNA Metazoa_SRP Metazoan signal recognition particle RNA
GCCAGGUGUGGUGGCGCGCACCUGUAAUCCCAGCUACCCGGGAGGCUGAGGCAGGAGAAUCGCUUGAACCCAGGAGGCGGAGGUUGCAGUGAGCCGAGAUCACCCCACUGCACUCCAGCCUGGGUGACAGAGUGAGACUCUGUCUAAA